CGUCUAGGCGGGAAAUUAAGUUGGGUGUGAAAUCCAUUGGCUUAACCGGUGAAUUGCACCCAAAACUGAUUUUCUUGAGUUCGGGAGAGGAGAGCGGAAUUCUUGGUGUAGCGGUGAAAUGCGUAGAUAUCAAGAAGAACACCAGUGGCGAAGGCGGCUCUCUGGCCUAGAACUGACGCUAAAGCGCGAAAGCGUGGGGAGCGAACG
rnacentral:rRNA from 1 species